rnacentral:misc_RNA from 1 species
GUGAAUCAUCGAAUUUUUGAACGCAAAUUGCACUCUCUUCGGAUAGGAUGCCUGUGUGAGGGUCAGCCUAAAAAAAAUCAACAUAGUAGCUGUUUCUCGUUGACAAUCGUCGGAAAUUGUGUGAUCUUAAACCGUUAGGUUUUAAGAAGCGUAAAAUUUUCUUUACAAUUCUAAGGAGUUUU